rnacentral:tRNA from 2 species
UCGAAUCCCUUCUCUCUAGA